CCUACGUGGGGCAGCAGUGGGGAAUAUUGGACAAUGGGCGAAAGCCUGAUCCAGCCAUGCCGCGUGUGUGAAGAAGGCCUUCGGGUUGUAAAGCACUUUCAGUGGGGAAGAAAGCCUUGGGGCUAAUACCCUCGAGGAAGGACAUCACCCACAGAAGAAGCACCGGCUAACUCCGUGCCAGCAGCCGCGGUAAUACGGAGGGUGCGAGCGUUAAUCGGAAUUACUGGGCGUAAAGCGCGCGUAGGCGGUCUGAUAAGCCGGUUGUGAAAGCCCCGGGCUCAACCUGGGAACGGCAUCCGGAACUGUCAGGCUAGAGUGCAGGAGAGGAAGGUAGAAUUCCCGGUGUAGCGGUGAAAUGCGUAGAGAUCGGGAGGAAUACCAGUGGCGAAGGCGGCCUUCUGGACUGACACUGACGCUGAGGUGCGAAAGCGUGGGUAGCAAACAGGAUUAGAUACCCCAGUAGUC
rnacentral:rRNA from 1 species